GAUGAACGCUGGCGGCGUGCUUAACACAUGCAAGUCGAACGGAAAGGCCCAAGCUUGCUUGGGUACUCGAGUGGCGAACGGGUGAGUAACACGCGGGUGAUCUGCCCUGCACUUCCGGAUAAGCCUGGGAAACUGGGUCUAAUAUCGGAUAGGACCACUUCUUGGAUGUUGUGGUGGAAAGUUUUUUCGGUGUGGGAUGAGUUCGCGGCGUAUCAGCUUGUUGUUGGGUUAAUGGCCUACCAAGGCGUCACCGGGUAGCCGGACUGGGGGAGUGUACGGCGGCAUUGGGACUGAGAUACGGCCGAGGCAGCUACGGGAGGCAGAAGGGGGGAAUAUUGCACAAUGGGCGCAAGGCGGAUGCAGAGGGGCCUCGUGGGGGAUGACGGCGUUAGGGUUGUAAACUCCUUUCGCAAGGGACGAAGCGUUUUGUGACGGUACCUGGAGAAGAAGCACCGGCUAACUACGUG
rnacentral:rRNA from 1 species